AAGGAUCAUUAAAGAAUGCCCCGUUUUUUGAAAUGGGUUCUAUUCCCAAACCGUGUAUACAUACCUUUGUUGCUUUGGCAGGCCGCCUUCGGGCGUCGGCUCACGCUGACCGCGCCUGCCANAGGACCCAAACUCGUUUGUUUAGUGAUGUCUGAGUACUAUAUAAUAGUUAAAACUUUCAACAACGGAUCUCUUGGUUCUGGCAUCGAUGAAGAACGCAGCGAAAUGCGAUAAGUAAUGUGAAUUGCAGAAUUCAGUGAAUCAUCGAAUCUUUGAACGCACAUUGCGCCCCUUGGUAUUCCGAGGGGCAUGCCUGUUCGAGCGUCAUUAUGACCACUCAAGCCUAGCUUGGUAUUGGGGUUCGCGGUCUCGCGGCCCUUAAAAUCAGUGGCGGUGCCAUCUGGCUCUAAGCGUAGUAAUUUAUCUCGCUAUUGGGUCCGGUGGUUGCUUGCCAACAACCCCCAACUUCUAAGGUUGACCUCGGAUCAGGUAGGGAUACCCGCUGAACUUAA
rnacentral:rRNA from 1 species